rnacentral:misc_RNA from 1 species
AAGAGAUCAUGCCCUCACGGGUAGACCUCCCACCCUUUGUUUACAAUACCUUUGUUGCUUUGGCGGGCCCGUUUGGCCCCGCACUGACCAGCCGGAGAACCGAAAACUCUGAAUUAAAUGUCGUCUGAGUACUAUGUAAUAGUUA